ACUUUUUAACUUUAUAUGGUCGGAAUCGCUUUCUUCUGCCUGUUACAUAAUUUUCAACGAAUCCUUUUACUCUACUAGUAAGGAAUAUAAUUAUCUGAACCAGGAGAGAGACUGUCGUAUAAGAGCUUAGCUACACCGCUCGAAGCGCGAACUGACGCGCAACACCGCAAUUGUAUUCCGUCCAAAGGAAAUAACCAAAAUUAUUAAAGACAAUCUCAGCCUCAAAAAAUCCCCUGGCUGCGACGUUAUAGCACCAGAAAUGAUCAUCGAGCUGCCACAUUUUGCAUUUUGCAAUGAAAAUUUGCUCUCUGACUGACGAAUAAACGAGCAACAAUAAACAGACAAGACUGCCCACUACUUUUCCUGAACAACAUACCCCUCCCGAGAGCAGAUGAGGUAAUGUACCUAGGAGUAUAUCUCGUCAGAAGACUCACAUGGCACCAGCAGAUUGAAGCCAAAAAAAUUCAAUUUAAACUUAAAGCCAAAAACUUACACUGGCUUAUCAAUAGAGGGGCCGAAACAUCGAUGCUAACAUCGAUGUAUCGAUGUUCUUUAAAAAUUCCGAAACAUCGAUGCUUUUAACAGACUAUCGAUGUUUUUGGUUCGUCACUAUUCCAAGAACAAGAAGAAGACACAACGCUAAGGUUUGCAGAUAUAUUCAUAUGGUGAUUGGUGGGGGAAGCGACGCAAGCCAAUGGAGAAAUUUUUAAAACGCAAGAUAUUUUGCACAUGGCAUGUGCAGUCACAUAUACAUGCGUGGCAAAUGCAUUUAAUGUAGUUAUACCCGUUACUCGUAGAGUAAAAGGGUAUACUAGAUUCGUUGAAAAUAAGGAAUAUAAUUAUCUGAACCAGAAGAGAGACUGUCGUAUAAGAGCUUAGCUACACCGCUCGAAGCGCGAACUGACGCGCAACACCGCAAUUGUAUUCCGUCCAAAGGAAAUAACCAAAAUUAUUAAAGACAAUCUCAGCCUCAAAAAAUCCCCUGGCUGCGACGUUAUAACACCAGAAAUGAUCAUCGAGCUGCCACAUUUUGCAUUUUGCAAUGAAAAUUUGCUCUCUGACUGACGAAUAAACGAGCAACAAUAAACAGACAAGACUGCCCACUACUUUUCCUGAACAACAUACCCCUUCCGAGAGCAGAUGAGUUAAUGUACCUAGGAGUACAUCUCGUCAGAAGACUCACAUGGCACCAGCAGAUUGAAGCCAAAAAAAUUCAAUUUAAACUUAAAGCCAAAAACUUACACUGGCUUAUCAAUAGAGGGGCCGAAACAUCGAUGUAUCGAUGUUCUUUAAAAAUUCCGAAACAUCGAUGCUUUUAACAGACUAUCGAUGUUUUUGGUUCGUCACUAUUCCAAGAACAAGAAGAAGACACAACGCUAAGGUUUGCAGAUAUAUUCAUAUGGUGAUUGGUGGGGGAAGCGACGCAAGCCAAUGGAGAAAUUUUUAAAACUAAGGAAUAUAAUUAUCUGAACCAGGAGAGAGACUGUCGUAUAAGAGCUUAGCUACACCGCUCGAAGCGCGAACUGACGCGCAACACCGCAAUUGUAUUCCGUCCAAAGGAAAUAACCAAAAUUAUUAAAGACAAUCUCAGCCUCAAAAAAUCCCCUGGCUGCGACGUUAUAGCACCAGAAAUGAUCAUCGAGCUGCCACAUUUUGCAUUUUGCAAUGAAAAUUUGCUCUCUGACUGACGAAUAAACGAGCAACAAUAAACAGACAAGACUGCCCACUACUUUUCCUGAACAACAUACCCCUCCCGAGAGCAGAUGAGGUAAUGUACCUAGGAGUAUAUCUCGUCAGAAGACUCACAUGGCACCAGCAGAUUGAAGCCAAAAAAAUUCAAUUUAAACUUAAAGCCAAAAACUUACACUGGCUUAUCAAUAGAGGGGCCGAAACAUCGAUGCUAACAUCGAUGUAUCGAUGUUCUUUAAAAAUUCCGAAACAUCGAUGCUUUUAACAGACUAUCGAUGUUUUUGGUUCGUCACUAUUCCAAGAACAAGAAGAAGACACAACGCUAAGGUUUGCAGAUAUAUUCAUAUGGUGAUUGGUGGGGGAAGCGACGCAAGCCAAUGGAGAAAUUUUUAAAACGCAAGAUAUUUUGCACAUGGCAUGUGCAGUCACAUAUACAUGCGUGGCAAAUGCAUUUAAUGUAGUUAUACCCGUUACUCGUAGAGUAAAAGGGUAUACUAGAUUCGUUGAAAAUAAGGAAUAUAAUUAUCUGAACCAGAAGAGAGACUGUCGUAUAAGAGCUUAGCUACACCGCUCGAAGCGCGAACUGACGCGCAACACCGCAAUUGUAUUCCGUCCAAAGGAAAUAACCAAAAUUAUUAAAGACAAUCUCAGCCUCAAAAAAUCCCCUGGCUGCGACGUUAUAACACCAGAAAUGAUCAUCGAGCUGCCACAUUUUGCAUUUUGCAAUGAAAAUUUGCUCUCUGACUGACGAAUAAACGAGCAACAAUAAACAGACAAGACUGCCCACUACUUUUCCUGAACAACAUACCCCUUCCGAGAGCAGAUGAGUUAAUGUACCUAGGAGUACAUCUCGUCAGAAGACUCACAUGGCACCAGCAGAUUGAAGCCAAAAAAAUUCAAUUUAAACUUAAAGCCAAAAACUUACACUGGCUUAUCAAUAGAGGGGCCGAAACAUCGAUGUAUCGAUGUUCUUUAAAAAUUCCGAAACAUCGAUGCUUUUAACAGACUAUCGAUGUUUUUGGUUCGUCACUAUUCCAAGAACAAGAAGAAGACACAACGCUAAGGUUUGCAGAUAUAUUCAUAUGGUGAUUGGUGGGGGAAGCGACGCAAGCCAAUGGAGAAAUUUUUAAAACUAAGGAAUAUAAUUAUCUGAACCAGGAGAGAGACUGUCGUAUAAGAGCUUAGCUACACCGCUCGAAGCGCGAACUGACGCGGUAUGAAAGAAGAGAUUUAGAAUUUUUAAACCCGUCCUAAUCCAUUAAGUCCCACCGCAAUUGUAUUCCGUCCAAAGGAAAUAACCAAAAUUAUUAAAGACAAUCUCAGCCUCAAAAAAUCCCCUGGCUGCGACGUUAUAACACCAGAAAUGAUCAUCGAGCUGCCACAUUUUGCAUUUUGCAAUGAAAAUUUGCUCUCUGACUGACGAAUAAACGAGCAACAAUAAACAGACAAGACUGCCCACUACUUUUCCUGAACAACAUACCCCUCCCGAGAGCAGAUGAGGUAAUGUACCUAGGAGUAUAUCUCGUCAGAAGACUCACAUGGCACCAGCAGAUUGAAGCCAAAAAAAUUCAAUUUAAACUUAAAGCCAAAAACUUACACUGGCUUAUCAAUAGAGGGGCCGAAACAUCGAUGCUAACAUCGAUGUAUCGAUGUUCUUUAAAAAUUCCGAAACAUCGAUGCUUUUAACAGACUAUCGAUGUUUUUGGUUCGUCACUAUUCCAAGAACAAGAAGAAGACACAACGCUAAGGUUUGCAGAUAUAUUCAUAUGGUGAUUGGUGGGGGAAGCGACGCAAGCCAAUGGAGAAAUUUUUAAAACGCAAGAUAUUUUGCACAUGGCAUGUGCAGUCACAUAUACAUGCGUGGCAAAUGCAUUUACACUCGUAGAGUAAAAGGGUAUACUAGAUUCGUUGAAAAGUAUGUAACAGCCAGAAGGAAGCGUUUCCGACCAUAUAAAGUAUAU